GAGUUUGAUCCUGGCUCAGGACGAACGCUGGCGGCGUGCCUAAUACAUGCAAGUCGAGCGGAUUGAUGGGAGCUUGCUCCCUGAUAUCAGCGGCGGACGGGUGAGUAACACGUGGGUAACCUGCCUGUAAGACUGGGAUAACUCCGGGAAACCGGGGCUAAUACCGGAUAACUCAUUUCCUCGCAUGAGGAAAUGUUGAAAGAUGGCUUCUUGCUAUCACUUACAGAUGGACCCGCGGCGCAUUAGCUAGUUGGUGAGGUAACGGCUCACCAAGGCAACGAUGCGUAGCCGACCUGAGAGGGUGAUCGGCCACACUGGGACUGAGACACGGCCCAGACUCCUACGGGAGGCAGCAGUAGGGAAUCUUCCGCAAUGGACGAAAGUCUGACGGAGCAACGCCGCGUGAGUGAUGAAGGUUUUCGGAUCGUAAAGCUCUGUUGUUAGGGAAGAACAAGUGCCGUUCGAAUAGGGCGGCACCUUGACGGUACCUAACCAGAAAGCCACGGCUAACUACGUGCCAG
rnacentral:rRNA from 2 species